GUACGCCACUUGAGCCCGCCGCCGUUUCCCCUUCGCUAAUGAUACCAGCGGAGCCUCUCUGGGGAAUGGCGUCCGUCGUGCGCCUGGCUUUCACAUUUCCAGCACCAGAGGAGAACGUCAGGUGGCGAUGGAAAGCACGCGGCCGCCCCGAGUCACCUCGUGUCGCCACUGAUUUCCUUCAUAGCUCAGGUCACAGCCCCCUAACCCCUCCCUGCGGCUCAGCACCAGGCUGCUUCUGACAGGAUGGGUUUGACCUCUGACCCCUGGAGCAGACAGCUCAAUCAGCUUCUUUACGGAGGAGUCACAGCGGAGAAAGAGCGAGAGCGCGGCUCUGAGGGAGAAGGACACUGGCGGCCUCUUUGGUAGUUUCCUUCUGUGACACGGCAAAUCACUUUGGGCGUUGACACCGAUCCUCGGCUUGUUACUAACUUCCUUUAUUUUCCCGAUUUCGUAAUCAGUGAUCUUUAUUAAUCAGUUUUUAUUUCAACUGCUCACGCCUCAAAAGUCACAGCUCGGUGUCGAAGGAUAACAAUUUGAUUGAGUGCGUAUUUUUGUAUUAAAUGACAAAAAGGGAGAAAUCUGGCCCCUCGUUCACAGCGGCUCCUGCCAGUGAUGUUCUUGCUCCCUCACGUCCUCUUGAGCUCCACCACUGAUUUAACCUCCAGAGAUGAGCAGCCAGUGAUCACAACGCUCAGAGGAAGUUAGCGGCCUCCACUCUCCAGAGGCCGGCACUUCCUCUUGAUUUCGCCUGUUCUGUCAAGAAAGAAAAGGAAGGUAGAGAUAAAAAAAAAUAAAAAAAAUACACCCCUGCUAUGCUGUGUGUGUGGGCUUCACACAACUGUAAAACUGCGUCAUCAGCACAAAGAUGAAGCUCUGAGAGUGUGUGUGUGUGUAUGAGUCGGUGUGUGUGCGUGCGCGCGUGUGUGUGUGUGUGAGCGUGUGUGUAUUUUAGGCAAGGUGCCUGCCCUGGAGCUAGAUAAUGUGAACAGAAGCAGAUGGGGAAACUUAAACGCACACCCACUAGGGUAUAGCAGAGCUGGCACAAAGUAAGAACAGGUCUUAGAACAUCUCCCAGCCGGAGUGGAUGCCAGCACUCUCGCUAGCACUGAGACUGGAUGACAAAGAGAGUGGAAAAGAGAGAGAAAAUCUGUUUCGAUGCUACUCUGUGUGUGUGUGUGUGUGUGUCUGUCUCUGCAUGUGAGUGUGUAUGUGUGUUUUGUACAGUACCUCCACUGUUUUGUUCUUUUUUUGCAUAUUUAUUCUUUCACGGAACUGUCGGCCCUCUGUCCUUCUGUUUUGUGUCUCAUCUGUUGUGCGCCGGUGCCGAGCAUGUUGUGAGUUUGAGAAACACCUCUCCAGUCAACAUGAAAACACUCGGUGGGUAUUUGUUUUAAAACCGUGACGAACGUCGGAUUAAAUGAAAACAUGAUGAAGUUCGAUUCAGAUUUUCACCCAAAUUUAAAAAAGUAUUUAUCUAAAGGCCAUUUUUCAUGAUACUGCGCAGUUCAUUAUGACAAAACCAAAGACAAACAUGAGUUUCCUGCACUGUACAUGUUUGUCCCACGAAAGUCUGGAUCAAAUGCAUUUACACUUUUAACUAUUCAC